rnacentral:rRNA from 1 species
UACGUAGGGGGCAAGCGUUGUCCGGAAUCAUUGGGCGUAAAGAGCGUGUAGGCGGCUCGAUAAGUCUGCUGUGAAAGUCCAGGGCUCAACCCUGGAAGGCCGGUGGAAACUGUCGGGCUAGAGUCCGGAAGAGGCGAGUGGAAUUCCCGGUGUAGCGGUGAAAUGCGCAGAUAUCGGGAGGAACACCAAUGGCGAAGGCAGCUCGCUGGGACGGUACUGACGCUGAGACGGCGAAAGCGUGGGGAGCAAACAGG